AGUGAACGCUGGCGGUAGGCCUAACACAUGCGAGUCGAACGGCAGCACAGUAAGAGCUUGCUCUUACGGGUGGCGAGUGGCGGACGGGUGAGGAAUACGUCGGAAUCUACUUUUUCGUGGGGGAUAACGUAGGGAAACUUACGCUAAUACCGCAUACGACCUACGGGUGAAAGCAGGGGAUCUUCGGACCUUGCGCGAUUGAAUGAGCCGAUGUCGGAUUAGCUAGUUGGCGGGGUAAAGGCCCACCAAGGCGACGAUCCGUAGCUGGUCUGAGAGGAUGAUCAGCCACACUGGAACUGAGACACGGUCCAGACUCCUACGGGAGGCAGCAGUGGGGAAUAUUGGACAAUGGGCGCAAGCCUGAUCCAGCCAUACCGCGUGGGUGAAGAAGGCCUUCGGGUUGUAAAGCCCUUUUGUUGGGAAAGAAAAGCAGCAGGUUAAUACCCCGCUGUUCUGACGGUACCCAAAGAAUAAGCACCGGCUAACUUCGU
rnacentral:rRNA from 1 species